rnacentral:rRNA from 1 species
CAUUUCGUGCUUAGGCUCUGUUUCAACCUCCCACCCAUGUUUAUUGUACCUUGUUGCUUCGGCGGGCCCGCCUCACGGCCGCCGGGGGGCUUCUGCCCUCUGGCCCGCGCCCGCCGAAGACACCAUUGAACACUGUCUGAAGAUUGCAGUCUGAGCAAUUAGCUAAAUAAGUUAAAACUUUCAACAACGGAUCUCUUGGUUCCGGCAUCGAUGAAGAACGCAGCGAAAUGCGAUACGUAAUGUGAAUUGCAGAAUUCAGUGAAUCAUCGAGUCUUUGAACGCACAUUGCGCCCCUUGGUAUUCCGGGGGGCAUGCCUGUCCGAGCGUCAUUGCUGCCCUCAAGCACGGCUUGUGUGUUGGGCCCCGUCCUCCUUCCCGGGGGACGGGCCCGAAAGGCAGCGGCGGCACCGCGUCCGGUCCUCGAGCGUAUGGGGCUUUGUCACCCGCUCUUGUAGGCCCGGCCGGCGCUUGCCGACAACCAUCAAUCUUUUUUCAGGUUGACCUCGGAUCAGGUAGGGAUACCCGCUGAACUUAAGCAUAUCAAUAAGUGGAGGAAGCCU